GCCCUUCGUCCUUCAUCGGCUCUUAGUGCCAAGGCAUCCACUGUACGCCCUUAUUUUCUUCAUUAUUUUGAGAAUUUACGUUGUUUAUCUACUUUUCAAAGAACUUUUUUGAUUUUCAGUACAUUUAGACUGGUGGGCCUAAAUGGACUUGAACCACCGACCUCACGCUUAUCAGGCGUGUGCUCUAACCAACUGAGCUAUAGGCCCUUAAAAUCUUAAAGAAUAUUAUAUUAAAAGAAUUAACUAAUGAAAAAAACGAAAAACUUAUUUUUUAAAUUAACUUAAGUCUUUCAAAACUGAAGAUGAUGAUUUUAAAAAAUUUCCUUAGAAAGGAGGUGAUCCAUCCCCACCUUCCGGUAGGGAUACCUUGUUACGACUUAACCCCAAUCAUCGACCCUACCUUAGACGAUUCCCUCUGCUUACGCAGUUAGGCUGUCGCUUUCGGGUAUUGUCCACUUUCGUGGUUUGACGGGCGGUGUGUACAAACCCCGAGAACGUAUUCACCGCGACAUGCUGAUUCGCGAUUACUAGCGAUUCCAACUUCAUGAAGUCGAGUUGCAGACUUCAAUCCGAACUGAGACUAUUUUUUUGAGAUUUGCCAAAAACUCGCGUUUCAGCUACUCUUUGUAAUAGCCAUUGUAUCACGUUUGUAGCCCAGAUCAUAAGGGGCAUGAUGAUUUGACGUAAUCCCCACCUUCCUCCAAUUUUCAUUGGCAGUC
rnacentral:rRNA from 1 species